rnacentral:rRNA from 1 species
UACAGAGGGUGCUAGCGUUGUCCGGAUUUAUUGGGCGUAAAGAGCUCGUAGGCGGCUUGUCGCGUCGGCUGUGAAAACCCGUGGCUCAACCAUGUGGUCUGCAGUCGAUACGGGCAGGCUAGAAUUCGGUAGGGGAGACUGGAAUUCCUGGUGUAGCGGUGAAAUGCGCAGAUAUCAGGAAGAACACCCGUGGCUAAGGCGGCUCUCUAGUACGUGACUGACGCUGAGACGCGAAAAGCGUGGGGAGCGAACAGG